CUACCUUGAGUUCCUUGAAAGGGUAAAGGUGGGAUAUAACUAUAAUAAACGAACUUGUGCACAUAGGUACAUACCAUCUGAUGCUAAUGGUAGCAUGUAGCCAUUUGGAGUAGCAGUCAUUGCUAGACUUUUCCUCCAUGAAUUGCUGGCCAUCGCUACAUCCUAUAGAAGGGAGUUCCAUAGUUUCACUAUGCACUGCGUCAGGAGAUGAUCCUGUGUUCCAAGUUUAUGAGAAAGGGAGAAAAACAUGUUCCUAUACAUUUUUUGCACACCAUGCAUAGUUCUGUACACCUCUGUCCUGUCUCCCCUUAUUUGUAUCUUUUCCAAGCUAAAAAAUUGCACCUUUCUUUUCCUCAAGAAGAGUUACUCCAGCAACUGAAUUAUCUUAGGUGCCCUUUAUACAGUUUUUCUAACUCUAAAAUAGCCUUUUUAGGUGCAGUGACCAGAACUGUACAAAAUAUUCUAAGCACAGUCACAUCACAGAUUUGUUUAUGGGACAUAUGAUAUUGGCAUUUUUAUUUUCAAUUCCUUUUAAAAUUCAAACUAACAUGGAAUAUUCUUUUUCACAGCAGCUGCCCACCAGGUUGACAUUUUCACUGAACUGUCCGUCAUCAGCUUAUACGAGGAUGAAGUUGGGAAUUUUUCCCAACAUGCAUUAUUUCACAAUUGUUUACAUUUAACUGCUUUUGCUAGUGUGAUCCCUCACAAUCCCUUUUUGUUAUAACCACCAUACCUAUUUUGGUGUCAUCAGCAAACUUUGCCACUUCCACGCUUACGCUAGAUCAUUGAUUAAUAAGUUGAAUGGCAUUGGACCUAAUACAGAUCCUUGAGGACCCCAGUCUCCAUCCCUCCGUUGGGAGAAUUUACCAUUUAUCCCUCAUCGCAGCUUUCUGUUCUUUAAUCAGUUACUGAUCCAUAAGAAAACCUUCCCUCUUGUUUCAAGUCUGCUAAGUUUUCUCUGGAGUCUUUGGUGAGGGACUUUGCCAAAAGCCUUUUCGAAUUUUAAGUAAACAAUGUCUACUGUUUCGUUCUGUCCACAUUCCUAAAGAUACUCUCGAAGAUUUUGAAAGGUUAAUGAGAUAGGACAUACUUUUGCAGAAGACUUCCUGAGUCUUUCUCAGCAUAACUUACUUUGAUAAAUUUACCUUAAAAAAGACACUUUGUUAACUGUCCUAUACUUUGCAAAUCCCCCCGAACAACUAACUGUUUUGUGGCACGUUAAAGACUAACAAGUUUAUUAUGGUAUUGGCUUUUGUUGGACACUGUCCACUUGGUUUUCCUGGAGGAUGUUUCCUGUCUUUGGAUAGCCUUCCUCAUUCUCUACCUGCCAUCAGAUUAAUUUGGUUUUAGAUUCCCUAAACAAAUUUCUGCCAUGCUUUUGCCUUUAACAGGAGACAGUCAUUUACUCACUUGUCAUAGUCAGGUUCUCUUUGCUGCUGAUGUUAUGGCUCAGCGUGGGAACUUGUUUUCAGUGUUAGGACUCAGGUCUGAAAGACAUGGUAAGGAGUGAGAGAGAAUGCCUUCUCCUCAAAAUGAUGGAGACAGUGGGCCAAAAUGAACUGAGCAUCCCUUCUAAAUCGGGAUGUUGCCGCCAACUACACUUUUUGACUGGAAAAUUUUUUGCAUGAGAUUUGAGGGGCAAAUCCUUUUGCAAAACAUUUGAGAAGAGCCAGAUAGUCACAGGCCAAAUACAAACACUAGCCAUGGUUUGUUCUUUUAAUCCUGGUUAAGAUCCCAAAUCUUGGGAAAACUUGGCUUUAUUUCCUAAACAAACUUUUGUCCCAGAGGGGCACGUAGCAAGAUCUUUUCACCACUUUCACAAGAAGACAGUCUGGGAAAGAAGAGAAACGCAUAUAUACCUUGAGUUGAUCUGCACAAUAUGACAAACAUUGGGGGAGGGGAGGGGUCUGUCAUGGUUCUGUCUUGUGUCUCUGUUGGUUUGUCAUGCGGUUGAAACCCCAUCAUGGUAUUUCAUAUUAUUUCAACACAGUACAUUUGGUUUUAAGAAACCACAGACAGAAACAACAGCCAAGUGGCUAACCAGGGAGAGCCCCUGACAGUUGCCUUCAGGACCAAUUGUCAAAGGCACGCUUGCUGCUUCCACCUCCUGCCCUAAGGCUCUUCUCUGGGGCAGGAGCAGGUGAUCAACUGGUUGGUACUGGGAGAAGAGCAGUGCUGCUCAGUUGAUCCUCCUGCUUAAACAGGGGAGGAGUGUGCCUGACCAGUGCCUCGUCUUCUCUGCUGCACUUCAGGGCACGAGCCCAGUUUGGAUUUCUUGUUCUGGAGUGUUAUAUCUGCCAUUAUCAAUGCAGAUAUAACACUUUAGCAUGAUGUACCCAAUCCAUGGUUUCACAUCCUGGUUUACAGUUAAUCCUUAACUGAGAUAUAAGUAUUCACACGUCAUAUGCUUAAUGAUCAGUAGGAAAACAAGCCAAGCCUUGUCAGGCUCUGUAAUCUAAUUUACCAUGGGAAGAAAAGACACAUAUAACUAAGAUGCACCUGAGAACCCAAUCCACUCAUACAGCUUCAAGAGCAUCAAAGGUGGUGUGGGGUGUUUGCCAGCCCUUCUUGUCACCUACAAUCAUUGCUGACUCCAAAUAAAAAAAGAGAGGCAUCCCUUUUAGGACUGGAGUUAAUUCCAACAUUGUGUGAACUAGAACAGUGGGCCUUCUGGCAUGGGCACAGUUAACAAGAGGUUUCUGUCUUCCUGCUAAGCAUUUCUCAGUUUGUUUAAGUGCCUGAUGGAGCUAUUUACAUAAAAUACAGAGCAACUGUGGCUGAGAUUAAUUUCCUUUACCCUAAGGUCAGAUUGUUUCUAUUUCACAAUUAGAGAUAGGAAGAAUGAAGGAAGCCGUCUCAGUUUGUUCUGUACUAACUCACCAAAGUGACAUUGCCAGGGAAUGAGGCACAGUUCACUUCACAUUUGCCGAUGGGCACUGAUGCAAGGCAAACUGAGAGUUUAGUUGGAAGCGUGCCCCCUGCACACCCAGGGAUGUGAGUACUCAGAGUAACAUGGAAGUCUGGAAACCCUGUCCCCUAAUCCUGCUGGAAACCCAUAUGCAUGAGGCUUACUGUUAUUUAGAGAAUAAGGAAGUGCACGUUCCCACCUGUAUCUGUAUUCCCAUUGAUAUUCUCAUGCUUGAGGACGGAGUUGUGGUACCGAAUAACAGUUUCUGCUUUAGAGCACUUGCUGAUAUUAUAUUCUGAAUGAAUCUCACUGAAAUCUGGAAUGGUAGCUGGGAAGUGUCCAGUGCCAUUUCAGAGCCCUGUCUAUGUUUGCUUGUUCUCAGCUCUGUGUGAAUGGGCUUCUGCUAUAAUUUUAAGUGCUGUUAACAUUGUAACUGCAUGCUUUUACAAAUGAGCUGGAAAGAGCCAUUACCGAAUGGAGUAGCUUUUAAAAUGUUGGUGCAAGCUUUUGAAGAACAGUCAUGUGUGACUCAGAAGCUUGUGUAAACUGUGACUUUGCUAAGGCUGUGCACCAGUGAUCUUCAGGCACAACCACCAAGGCAGCUGGGAGGCUUUCCUGGACUGUGGCAGCCCUUCCUCCUCCACGCAGUGACGCUGCACCACUGCACCGAUUCAGCUGGAGCACGUUGGGCCUCCUUUCCCCAUCCUCAGCCCCUCCAUAUAGUCCAAACAAAGCCUCAUUAGUCAGUCUCCAAGUCACCUGGUAGGCAAAUUCCAGCUGGCUCACGUGGUUGUUGGACUGGAAUGGAUCUUCUCAACACUGAAAGAGUGCUUUGCUUUAAUCAUGGGAUGCUCACUCAAAGCAGGCUCAUGUUGCUGUUGCACAGUUUCCCUGCCACCUCCAGCAUCUGCACAAUGUGCUAUCCCAGUUAGCCAGUUGUGUUAUUCUUUGCCUCCCACCCCACCCCCGGCCCACUGCUGGCUUACAGCUGAUCUCCUGAUUUCUCACCUCAAAGCCUCUUCCAAUAGCCCAGAUCACAGCCCACUGAAAAAGCAAACACACCUAGAGCCAGAGAGCCACCACCAAGAGGCAGCAGCUGCUGCAGAUUAAAAGAGUCCAAGAGCUUCACCUGGGAUGUUCAGGAGUCAACAGUGGCUCUUGUGCCUUAUGGAGAAGAACACUGCUACACCAACAUCCUGCCUUUUAAGCACUAGAUGGUCCAAGGAAAGUGGUAUCUGCCAUUACUUGUUUUAGAUUGCCACAGUUCGUGAGAGUAAAAUAUUUUGCUGGAGUUCCAUACUUGUUCCUUCCUACCUCCUCUUUGCACUUCUUGUUUUCUUAGAUAUUACGUUUUCUGUGAUCAUUCACAAACAGUGUGUCCAGACUUUGGGAAAAACAUAUUUCGCCAGCCUGGAUGCAUGCACAAAGUGCUGCCCUGGAAAGGCAAAGCGCACAGAAGUGAGCCCUGAAGAGCAAUGCAGCACACCGUGCGAUCCACAUCAUUGUGCCUGUUCACAAUAGUUUGAUUCCUGCCACAACUGAAACCUGAAUUGUUGAAUGAAAACUCUUCUACUCUGAUGAGAAGUGUGUUUGAUUUAAAAACCUGUGUCUCACAUUAACAGUGAUCCCAAAUUACUCAUUCUGUGUUGAAGGGCAUUCUUAGUGCCACUUUUACUGGGCCUGCAAGGUGUUAUCCCCUAAAUGUCAGCAUUGCUUUCUUUCAGGUUCCCUCCCAGCCUACAAUGCCUGGUAAAGAGUAGAACCAACAGUGGAAGAAAAUGCUCUGUUCAGAGAAUGCAGCCAUUGUUUCCACUCAUGUUUUCAGCAGUGCUAGUGAUCUGGAUAUCUUUGGCAGUAGAUCUGAAACUAGGGCAGGAAAAUGUAUUGCAAGAGCAGAAACACAGCAAAAGGAACUUUGGACCCUAGACUGUCUAUUUUGCUAGGAGGGUUGUCAUAUUUCAAGGUGGAGCUACAAAGAAAGGAAAGGAAAAUCAGGGAUGCUCAAAUGUCCUAUGCAAAGUUUCAGAAACUUUUAACUUGAAUUAAAAAUAGUUCAUAUUCAUUUAUUUCUUCCAGAGAUCACAUUAAGAGAGCAAGAAAGAGAUAAAAUAUAUGCAAUAUAGCUAAAAUAGACUUUGUGUAAGAUAAAUGGAUAAUGGGUUGAAUGGAGAUCAUACUGGUUCCUGGGGCACUUGUUGCACUUGGGGUUCUGAAUGUUUGGGGGCAAGGCUUCUAUUCCCUAUGUCAUUUAGGGUGCAGCCUUACGGCUUCUAAAUGCCUUGAACUCAUCCCAAGGUUGAAGCUGGAUCUCUGACUUUGGAGAACGCUCCCUCCACCCUCAUAGCAGGCAUGAAUUAAGAAGAAAUCUUCCAAUAUCCUACUGUACUUAUGCAAGCCCAUGGUGUGAUCUGCACCUCAAAAAGUAUAUUACAGUGUUGGAAAAAGACAGGAAAGGGUAACCAUAAUGAUGAAGGAGUUGGAACAACUCCCCUGCUAGGAAAGGUUGCACAGCUAAGAUUGUUGAGCUUAGAAAAAAUGUGAACAAGGGGAGACAUAGAGGUGUACAGAAUCACGCAUGGUGUGAAGAAAGGUGUGGAUAGGGAGAUACUUUUCUCCUCCUGUAAUGCUAGAAUGUGGGUCAUCCCAUGAAGCUGAUUGGUCAGAAGUUCAGCACAGGUGAAGUACUUCUUUACGCAGCACAUAGUGAAACUAUGGAAUUUACUUCCACAGGAUGUCCCCCAAUUUGGACAGCAUUAAAGGGAGAUUGGACACAUUUGUGGAGGAGAAAGUUGUCAGGGCUGUUAGUCUUGAUGGGUAUAAGUUAACUUGCAGCAUCAGAGACAGUCUGCCUAUUUCCCACAGUUGCUGGGGAAUUUGCACGGAAGGCGAUUUGCAGGCAUUUCCCAAGGACAGCGGGUUGGCCACUGUGUGAACAGACUGCUGGCCUAGGUGGACCCUUGCUGUGAUCCAGCACGGCUCUCCUUGUGUUCUUCAGAAAGCAGGACUUCUCCCUGCAGAGACAGCCAGAGCAACACAAAAUGGCAGCUGCAGUGAAGCUGGGAGAAAUUCCAGUUUCACCCUUGAUUCCUGUUACUGUUGCUUAAUGGGAUUUCUCUUCUUGCUGCGGUCCCUGGGUGACUCCGCAUCCUCACAUGCCUCACAACGUCUGAAGACUUUGCUUCUCCAGCACCACACUGACCUGGUGGUGGGAAAACCAGAACCCAUGGAGACCCAGCACUUUAAUGACAAAAUACCAUAACUGGUUUGUGCAUGAGUUUUUACACCUAUGAGGAUAUCAGCACUUCAAAAAAUAAACUAGUUCAAGGACCUUAGCUGUUGGAAAUGAUCCACCUUGACAUGCCAUAAUACAAUGUUCAACUAAGCACUGUUGUAGGUCUUGUUAUUAGGUAGGAAAGGCCGUAGUAUUAUUGUCCAAACGAAAGUUUUCCUUCAGCUUUGAAUACAUGCUGAAAUGAGAGAAAUCAA